GGAUGAACGCUGGCGGCGUGCCUAAUACAUGCAAGUCGAUCGAUGGACGCCUAGCUUGCUAGGAAGAAGUAGAGGCGAACGGGUGAGUAAUACGUAAGCAACCUACCCACGAAGACUGGGAUAAUUCCUGGAAACGGGGACUAAAACCGGAUAGGUAGUGAAGCCGCAUGACUUUACUAUUAAAGGUGAGAAACACUGGUGGAUGGGCUUACGGUGCAUUAGCUAGAUGGUGAGGUAACGGCCCACCAUGGCGAUGAUGCAUAGCCGGGCUGAGAGGCUGAACGGCCACAUUGGGACUGAGACACGGCCCAGACUCCUACGGGAGGCAGCAGUAGGGAAUUUUCGGCAAUGGGGGCAACCCUGACCGAGCAACGCCGCGUGAGUGAAGAAGGCCUUCGGAUUGUAAAGCUCUGUUGGAAGGGAAGAAUGACAUGAAGCAUAUUCAUGAGUGACGGUACCUUACCAGAAAGCUACGGCUAACUACGUGCCAGCAGCCGCAGUAAUACGUAGGUAGCGAGCGUUAUCCGGAAUUAUUGGGCGUAAAGGGUGCGUAGGCGGUCGAAUAAGUUUGUGGUUAAAGCGUGGGGCUCAACCCCAUAAAGCCACAGAUACUGUUCAACUAGAGUACUGGAGAGGGUAGUGGAAUUUCCAUGUGUAGCGGUAAAAUGCGUAGAUAUAUGGAGGAACACCGGUGGCGAAGGCGGCUACCUAGACAGAGACUGACGCUGAGGCACGAAAGCGUGGGGAGCAAAUAGGAUUAGAUACCCUAGUAGUCCACGCUGUAAACGAUGAAUGCUAGGUAUUGGGGUGACUCAGUGCCGGAGCUAACGCGAUAAGCAUUCCGCCUGUGGAGUAUGCACGCAAGUGUGAAACAUAAAGGAAUUGACGGGGACCCGCACAAGCGGUGGAGUAUGUGGUUUAAUUCGACGCAACGCGAAGAACCUUACCAGGCCUUGACAUCCCUUGCGAAGUCUUAGAGAUAAGAUAGAGGUUAUCGAGGUGACAGGUGGUGCAUGGUUGUCGUCAGCUCGUGUCGUGAGAUGUUGGGUUAAGUCCCGCAACGAGCGCAACCCUUGUCGUCAGUUACUAACAUUAAGUUGAGGACUCUGGCGAGACUGCCGGUGAUAAACCGGAGGAAGGUGGGGAUGACGUCAAAUCAUCAUGCCCCUUAUGGCCUGGGCUACACACGUACUACAAUGGCUAUUACAACGUGCAGCAACAUCGCAAGAUGAAGCGAAUCACUUAAAGAUAGUCUCAGUUCGGAUUGAGGUCUGCAACCCGACCUCAUGAGGCUGGAAUCGCUAGUAAUCGCGGAUCAGCAUGCCGCGGUGAAUACGUUCUCGGGCCUUGUACUCACCGC
rnacentral:rRNA from 1 species